AUGUACAGACCUGAAAUUCGAAUGGCGAGGAUGGCAAGAAAAGCUGGCAACUUCUAUGUACCUGCAGAACCCAAAUUGGCAUUUGUCAUCAGGAUCAGAGGUAUCAUUGGCAUGAGCCCAAAGGUCCGAAGGGUAUUGCAGCUUCUUCACAAUCUUCAAUGGAACCUUUGUGAAGCUCAACAAGGCUUCGAUUAACAUGCUGAGGAUUGUAGAGCCACAUACUGCAUGGGGGUACCCCAAUCUGAAGUCAGUAAAUGAACAAAACUACAAGCGUGGUUAUGGCGAAAUCAAUAAGAAGCGAAUUGCUUUGACAGAUAACGCUUUGAUUGCUCGAUAUCUUGGUAAAUAUGGCAUCAUCUGCAUGGAGGAUCUGAUUCAUGAGAUCUAUACUGUUGGAAAAUGCUUCAAAGAGGCAAAUAACUUCCUGUGGCCCUUCAAAUUACGUUCUCCAUGAGGUGGAAUGAAGAAAAAGACCACCCAUUUUGUAGAAGGUGGAGAUGCUGGUAACAGGGAGGACCAGAUCAACAGGCUUAUUAGGAGAAUGAACUAAGGUGUCUACCAUGAUUAUUUUUCUAAGUUGGUCAGUUAAUAAAUAGUACCUGCUCUCAAAAAAA